UCGAGAAUUUUUCUCAAUGGGCGCAAGCCUGAAGGAGCGACGCCGCGUGGGGGAUGAAGGGUUUCGAUCCGUAAACCCCUGUCAUUUGUGAACAAUGGUUAUUAUUUAAAAGAUGAUGACUUGAUAGUAAUGAAAGAGGAAGGGACGGCUAACUCUGUGCCAGCAGCCGCGGUAAUACAGAGGUCCCGAGCGUUGUUCGGAUUCACUGGGCGUAAAGGGUGCGUAGGUGGCAUGUUAAGUUUGAUGUGAAAGCUCAGGGCUUAACCCUGAAAUGGCAUUGAAUACUAGCGUGCUGGAGGUUUGGAGGGGGGACUGGAAUUCUCGGUGUAGCAGUGAAAUGCGUAGAUAUCGAGAGGAACACCAGUGGCGAAGGCGAGUCCCUGGACAACACCUGACACUGAGGCACGAAAGCCGGGGGAGCAAACA
rnacentral:rRNA from 1 species